rnacentral:rRNA from 1 species
AUGGAUGCAGUGUCCGAGGUUGCCGAUGCCAUGGGUGCAUUGGGCGUUGACAAUGGGGCGAGCCAGAAAUUUCUGCCCAAAGACGGUCCAGACAGCGAGGAGUUGGCCGAUGUGGCGCUUUCGGGCGAGAGUGAGGUGAUCAAUCCAUCUGAAGAGGUGGGUGGUGAAGCCACCUCGCCAUCGGAGGACAUAAAGUCGCAACCGGAGGACAUAAAGGCCCGUGUUCCCAAGGGAAGCCAAAGCCGUUCCCCUAAGGUUACCAAAUCACAGCGCCAGAGCCCACGGAGCGGCGAUAAGAGUCAAGCUAAGAAAAACACUCCGAGUUCUCCGUCCACUAAGGCGCCCAUUGCACGAGUGUCUGAUCCAGAUUUAGUUGAUAGCUCUUCAAGCAAUGGUGAUGCUGAUGUUAAGAAAAAGGCGGAGAAGAGCAAUUCCCGACCAGUUGCUAAGGAGAGCUUGUCGCUCGAGGAUUCAAAGGAGAAGAGGAAAACUCAGAAAGCAUCUAACCAACGUGUUGUCAAAAACGAUGAAGAAUCUAAUUGUGAAAGAGUAAAGCCUCAGAAGGUCGGCAGCACCCCUUCAUAUGGAUUUGCCUUCAAAUGCAACGAGAGAGCUGAAAAAAGAAGGGAGUUCUACUCGAAGCUCGAGGAGAAGAUCCAUGCACAGGAAUUGGAGAAAAACAACAUGCAGGCAAAAUCAAAGGAAAUGGAAGAAGCUGAACUCAGACAGCUACGGAAAAGUUUGAAUUUCAAGGCAGCACCGAUGCCCAGCUUUUAUAAGGAACCACCAGCUCCCAAAGUUGAGUUGAAGAAGGUCCCUACCACCAGACCUCGAUCACCAAAGCUUGGUCGCUCAAAGAACACAACCUCAGCAGGCACAGCAGUAAGUACCAAUCCUUCGAGCCGCCCAGUUCGUCUGAGCCUCGACCAAAGGGCCUCCCAAAACAGCCCCAAGGCAGCACCUGCUCCGAAGAAGUCCCAACGGAAAUCUCUCCCCAAAUUGCCGUCAGAGCAGACAGGUUCUGUUGACAUUGCAACUUCUAUAUCUUCUGCAGAACAGCUAGAAAUUAGCAAGUCAACUGCAGAUCCCAUCCGGACGCCAAUCCGUGCUCAAGUCACUCCAGACGACCAUGUGCUCAAUGCAUAG